rnacentral:rRNA from 1 species
UACGGAGGGUGCGAGCGUUGUCCGGAAUCACUGGGCGUAAAGGGCGCGUAGGUGGAUCGUUAAGUACCUUGUGAAAUCCCACGGCUUAACCGUGGAACUGCUUGGUAUACUGGCGGUCUUGAGCCACUUAGGGGCUACCGGAACAAAUGGUGGAGCGGUGAAAUGCGUAGAUAUCAUUUGGAACGCCAAUGGUGAAAACAGGUAGCUGGGAGUGUGCUGACACUGAGACACGAAAGCCAGGGGAGCAAACGGG